rnacentral:guide_RNA from 1 species
AAAAACAAAAAAUCAGAUAACAGAUUUAGUCGUAGUAUGAGAUAU